UGUACACUAAGAAGAUCUUCCUAAAAGGUCCUGAGGUCUUCCCAGGUCAUCACCCACGUCAGGUGCCUCAAGUUAUGCAAUAAACACACAGUGACAUGAAAUACAGAGGACUAACGUGCAUUUCUUUGUAUCUGCAUAGAAGGGAGGCCUGCUGGACGGCGAUAGGGACCAUGCAGCACGUGGAAAGUGUCUCCCCAAAAGAAGGGCUCCAUGGAUACUGAAAUUACGCAGACACCAAAAUACCUGGUCACAGGAAUGAGGAGUAAAAGGAUGAUGAAACGUGAGCAUCUGGGACAUGAUUCUUUGUAUUGGCUCAGACAGAAAGCUAAGAAAUCCCUGGUGUUCAUGUUUUACUACAACUGUAAGGAACUCACUGAGAACAAGACUGUGCCAAGUCACUUCACACCUGAAUGCCCUGACAGCUCUCGCUUAUACCUUCAUGUGUUCGCGCUGCAGCCAGAAGACUCAGCUCUGUGUCUCUGUACCAGUAGCCAAGAUACAGCCCUGCACAGUCACCGCCUCCCUGUGCACAAACCUCCUCCUAAGUCUAGUCAGAGAUCCAUGGGGGCAACGCGUUCAGCUGAGCCUCAACACUCGGUUCAGCAUUCCGUAGGACCUCGGCAGAAAUCUCAGACCAUAAUACUGUCAUUUAUUGGAUGUGACAACGCUAAAUUGCCCAGACACCUGCAGCCUGGGGCAUGACUUUGUCUUGAACGAGACUAUGCCUGAGUUUGAAUGUAGGACAGAAGCUGUCACAUUUAAGUUGUUCCAAGUAUCUUCCAGUUGGCUUGUGCCUCUGGAAAAUGUUGUGUGAAGUAUUUAACACUCUGGCCACACUAAUCCACCUUCCAAAAUGAACCGUUUUUUGACUUUUCUUUUGACUCAAG